AGAGUUUGAUCAUGGCUCAGAGCGAACGCUGGCGGCGUGCUUAACACAUGCAAGUCGAGUGCGCGGUAGCAAUACUGGCGCACGGCGCACGGGUGCGUAACACGUGGGCAACCUGCCCUCAAGAGGGGGGAUAACCCCGCGAAAGCGGGGCUAAUACCGCAUGACAUUCCGGUGGCUGCGGCCGCCGGAUUCAAAGUCCGCAAGGACGCUCGAGGAGGGGCCCGCGCCCGAUUAGCUUGUUGGCGAGGUAACGGCUCACCAAGGCAAUGAUCGGUAGCUGGUCUGAGAGGAUGAUCAGCCACACUGGAACUGAGACACGGUCCAGACUCCUACGGGAGGCAGCAGUGGGGAAUCUUGCGCAAUGGGCGAAAGCCUGACGCAGCGACNNCCGCGUGGGGGAUGAAGCUUCUCGGAGUGUAAACCCCUUUCGACCCGGACGAAACGCCCGCAAGGGCUUGACGGUACGGGUAUAAGAAGCCCCGGCUAACUACGUGCCAGCAGCCGCGGUAAGACGUAGGGGGCCAGCGUUGCUCGGAAUUACUGGGCGUAAAGGGUUCGUAGGCGGUGUGGCAAGUCGGGAGUGAAAUCUCUGGGCUUAACUCAGGGGCUGCUUCCGAAACUGCCGUGCUAGAGUGCGGGAUAGGCGAGUGGAAUUGCAGGUGUAGCGGUGAAAUGCGUAGAUAUCUGCAGGAACACCCGUGGCGAAGGCGGCUCGCUGGACCGUAACUGACGCUGAGGAACGAAAGCUAGGGGAGCAAACAGGAUUAGAUACCCCUGUAGUCC
rnacentral:rRNA from 1 species